CCGCGGGGCGGAGCCUUUCUCGAGGUUAUCGCGGGAACAGCGACCCCUUGAGGAUUGCGGCGGCGCAGCCCCGGGGCGCGCCGGGAGCUCCGCCCGGCUCCUGUGGAGGAAGCGGCGAGGGCGAGCCGCGGGGUCUCGGCGCCUCUGUAUGCUUGCACUUAACGAGAACCCAGAGCGAACACGACCCACAUUUCUCUUUUUGUUUUAAGAGGAAAUAUAGGAGUUACAGCAUAGAAUUACAAUAUCUGGACAUUAGAAAUAACAGGUCCCGGUCACGGUAUGGCACCGCGCGACACACUUGGUCCCUGAGGCCUGGAUGCCGCUCAGCAAACGUUCGCGGAAUAGGGUUGGGUUUACUGUCCCCCACCGAGCCGGUUGCUCAUUCAUUCAGCAUAAUUGAAUACCUCCUGUGUGCCAGGCACUGAAUCAAGUGUCGGAGACAAUGUCCUGCCCUCAAGCUCCUGGCCGGUUACUUGACAACCUUCCGGGACCUCAACGCUAUGUGCCUACUGUGUGAAAGCAAAGUGCCAGGUGGAGGACACAAAGAUGGCGAGCGACACAGGAUAGUCCUUAACAAUUAAGCGUGACUAAUUUUAAUAACAAAUGAGAAUAUGAUGUGACAUCCGUUCCAAAUCCUGUCGUUCCAAGUAACUUCUUAAGCAUCUUUCACGAUACAGCCUCUGCUUGAAAGGAAUUAAAACAGGUACAAGCAUGGAAGGAGACGUUGCUAUCAUAUUUCAAGAAUAAGAAAAUGCUGUUUUGUGUGGUUGUGCAGCAGGCAAUGAAAUGAGCUUACAUUCAAGCUUCCGUGUUUUACUGAAACAACAGUCACAGAUGCAGUAGAUGUUAAAGGUUGAAAGACGAGUGCAGUAAAAGCAUUAUGAGGACAAGAAGAAAACGUAAAUAUUUGUGUUGUUUCAUUCUUUGUUGUGGUGGCAGAAACAGCCCCCUCUUUCUAAGGUAACUCCAAUAUAAUGAUCUCUCCCAGCUUUGAAAUACUCCAUGUCUGUUUCAUUUUCCAGAAAUAUGGAAAAAUGAAUAUAUAAUAAAAAACCCUAUUUCUCAUUUAUUGUCUAUUUUAGAUCUUUAUGUGGAAAAGCACUUACUCUCUUCCCAGAGCACUGUUUUUAAAAGUAAGGAAGGACUGAAAGGAGGAGAAACUAUGGGUUGCCUUUUCCUUCUGUCAUCUGUUCAGCAUUUCAUAGUAAAACCUUUGUUGAUUUAAUAAACAUAAUGGAUACUCAUUAAAAUAUUCAAACAGCAUAGAAAGGGACAAAGAAGAAAGCAGCCAGCAAUCCAAGUACCACUAUCCAGAAAUAGCCAGUGAUAUCUCUUUAUGUGUGGAAAUACAAUGAAAAUUGAGUGAGAGACAUACACAGAGGAAGAAGAAAAAGAAAGCAAUCAAACUCCAAAUGGUGCUGCAAACUGAACCCCACAUGGACACGCCAUUCUUCUGAGGACCCUUAGAUCCACCCCAGGAGGAGCCCUAGCUGCUGUUCCCCAUUCGAUGCCCCUUUUCAGCCGAGGUGAUAACUGGAAGAGAGCAGAAAGGGAGCAUCUGGGAUACUGCUCUAAGAGCAGGACUGCCAUAUGAGGAUGCAGAGACUGUGCCUUGUGAAACUCCAGGGGCACCAUUCAUACAAGCCAACUGGACUCCAAGUGCCACGAGAACAGAGAUUGGGUCUGGUCCCCAGCUUCAGUGCCUCCAAGGCAGAAACUCAAGAGACGUUGUUGAACUGUCAGCCUUUACAUUUAUGCAUUACUAUUGAAGGCCUGGAAUAAAUGGAUCGUGUUUUACCUGUUAUCUUGCUCAUCUCUAUUACUGCUUCAUCAGCAGCUCUUCCCAAAGCAAUAAAAUGAACAAUGGCCCCACUUUGUUUCACUUCAUCAAUACAAGAACUUGCAGUGUUAUCCUCCCCAUCAGUCAGCAGCAGUACUUCGGAUCCAUCGAGUUGGGAAUUGGCAGUACUAUCAAAGUGAACCAUCCCCAC
rnacentral:lncRNA from 1 species